rnacentral:lncRNA from 1 species
CCAUGACUCACGGGUUGUGGAUCGGGAUGGCCUGCGGCUGCUGCUGAUGCUACUGGAGCUACUACUACUGCUUAAGUAGCGGAGGCUGAAGGUGGCUGCUGCGAAGGAGGAUGGCAGACGUCAGUGGUGGAAAAGACUGAGGAGGAGGCGGCUGGAACUGGGUGAAUAGCGAGAGAGGAAGAACUAUCGUCUCACUUUGGCCUUUGGGUUGGGUGAUGAUGGCGCUUUGCUUUAGGGUUUCUUAAAAAAAAAACACCUGUACAGAGUUUAAUUAUUUUUAAGUCAUUUUUUAAUGGCAAAAAUUAAAAACAGAACUCUUUAACAAUAGUUUAGUCUAUUCACAGCAUGUUUGGGCAGUUUAUUUGCUAAAAAAUAAUUUUUUUAAAAAAAAAAUUUUAAAAAAAUAUUUUAUGAUGUUUGGUAGUGUAAUAGAAAAUAAAUUGGAAAACAUUUUCUAGUAUUUGGUUAUGUCAUGGAAAAUAAGCUGGAAAAUAAUUCUUAAUGUUUUAUUUUUCUCAAGUUUAUUAAAAUAAUUAGGAACAAAUCUUACAAAUUAAAAAGUUGAAUAAGAAUGAAAUUGAAAAAAAAUAUAAUUUCAUAAAUUAUCUCAAAUAAAAUAAAUAAUAAUCAAAAUAAUAGAGAUCAAAUCUAAAAAAUUUAAAAAAAUAAAAGAUGAAGAAAUUAAAAUAAUAAUAAUUAACAUUUCAUAAAUUAUUUCAAAUAAAAUAAGUAACAAUCAAAAUAAUAAGAACCAAAUUUGAUAGAUAAAAAAUUUCAAUAAAAAAAUGAUAAGGAAAAAGCAAAUAGCAAUUAUAAAACUAAUGACCAAAGUUAAUAUAAAAAUUAAAUUUUAAGAGAUGAAAUUGAAAAAUAAAUAUUCAAAACAAAUUAUAUAUAGCAAUCAAAAGUUUGAGGAUCAAAUUUGAUAUAAUCAGCAAAUAAUGACAUUUCUAAAUUUUUCACAACUACCGGAAAGUGUUUUCCGCCUAAAUUUUCCAGGAAAAUUCUUUCCUGAAAACCAAGCCAAAUUUUUCUUUGACUGGAAAGUGUUUUCCGUUGACCAACUUUUCUAAUGGCAAACAAACACAAGAAAGUUUGGAAAGUGAUUUCCUAGAAACCACUUUCCGGAAAACAAACACAGCCAAGAGGGAAAACACUUUCUUGGAAACCAAAUCAAAUUUUUCUUUGACUGGAAAGUGUUUUCCGUUGACCGGAAAGUGUUUUCCGUUGACCGGAAAGUGUUUUCCGUUGACCAACUUUUCUAAUGACAAACAAAUACAGGAAAGUUUGGAAAAUGGUUUCCCGGAAACGACUUUCCGAGAAACAAACAUGGCCUUAAACUUACUUGUAUUUCAAAAAAUGGCAAUGAAACUAAGUUUUUUUAACUUACUUAUAUUUUUAAAAUAAUAUUGAAAUUAUUAUUUUUUCUAAUUGGAUUUUAAAACCCACAAUAACAUAUUAAAAUUUACUCCAUCAAGGUUUCAAGGUAAAUAAUAUUACUAUUAUUUUUUUGAUGAUUGAUAUAAAACGUGUUUGAAAGUAUGGUAAAUAUUAUUUUUUCACUUGAAAAUGUAUAAAAAUAAUAUUUUUUAUUUUUAAAAAUUUAUUUUUAACAUCAGCACAUCAAAACGAUUCAAACAAUAUAAAAAAUAAUUAAUUUGAAACUAAAAAAAAUCAAAAAAAUUCAAAAGCGCAAUUGGAACGCAAUGCUAAACAAUGUCAUAAUGUGUUUGAUAUUGUAGUGUAAAGUGUUUUUCAUUUAAAAAUGCUUUAAAAUAAUAUUUUUUAUAUUUUUCUAAUAUUUUUGAUAUCAUCACAUCAAAACUAUUAAAAAAAAUAAAAAACAUUGAUUUAAUACUUUUUAAAAUGAAAUGUAAUUUUAAAACAUACCCAAAAAUAGAAUUUACCAUGCUCCCAAACACAAGUAAUGGAUUACUCCCAAACACUAGUAAUUGAUUUCUUCAUCUUUUUUCUUAUUGAGAAAUAUUUGACUGAAGUAAUGAUCGUGUAUUUGAUAUUGUGAUAGUUUUUAGUAUUGUAAAUUUAAAAAAGUGAGUUUAGGAAAAAUAUUUUUAGUUGUUAUUUAGAAAAAUUGGGCUUAAAAAAUGCAUGUUUAGUUAAAAAUAUUGUGAGAUGAGUUUUUGAAUGUAUAAUAAAUAAAAAACAGUUUUUCAUGAAUGAAAAGCUUCUAUAAAACUAAGAUUUGAAACAUAAUUAUACGUGAGGUUUACUACAAAAUGUGAAGCCUGGUAUAAGAAAAUACAAGCUAUUUAAUUAAUGAAAUCAUUUUUACUAUGUAUAAAAAAAUAAAAUAUUAAACAGUGUACAUCAAGAAAGAAAAAACCUUAACUUUCCCAUUAUACCAAAUUAAUUUAUUUUCACUGAUUACAGUUAUAAAGAGAACGACACAUCACAUUAUAAUAAUUAAGAUAUUUGGUUAUCGGCCAUAAUCAUGUCAUUUGCUAGUAAAUUGUUGUGUGAUUGAUGAUUAAUCAAAUGCAAGCCUCUUUUAGUUUAAUUAUAAAUAUUAAAUUAUUAUGAUAUAGUAGAGCCAAGUUAAAUCAACUAGGGCAUGUUCAUCCUUUCCUUGAACCUCACAGAAAGAAAAUAAAUUACAAUGUAGUUAAAAAAAAAUUAUUAUGACUAAAAGAUUAACAAGGGUGACACGAAUUGUUUGAAUGAUCAUUGUCUUCAAUUAUAAGGUGGCAGGGUAAGGGAAAAAAUAAAAAUUAGUUACUGAGCAUUAAAAUUGUCAGGCUAUGGUGACAUCCCUACAUGAGCAUCAUAUGAUAAGCCAUGUAACCUCCUUACAUUUUUAUAUGGACACUCUCUAAAGCAAGCCAUAUGUAUGUCCAUUUAAAAGUCAUUCUUUCUUUGGUUGCAACUCGGGAUGGAAGUAUCCUCCUAUGGAAUGGACUAAAUUGAAUAUGGAUGAAUGUAGUACAACAAUAUGGGGUUUGCAGGCACUGGAGGACUGUUGCGGGAUAGUAUGAAGUCUUGGAUCAAGGGGUUUACUAUCACAUAGGUAUGUGUUCUUUGGUCUAGGCUAAGUUGUGUGCAGUAAUUAUUUGAUUGGAACUUGCUUAUUCCCUUGGAUUACGAAGAAUCAUUUUGGAAUCUAACUCAUUGUUAGUAGUGCACUUGAUCACAAAGAACAUUGUCAAAGUGGAUGCUAACUACGCUUUGAUUAAUAAAGUGAAGGCGAUUCUAGAGAGGGAAUGGGAAGUCAAGCGUCAACACAUUUUUCAAGAAGCUACUACAGUAGCUGAAUGGUUAGCAAAUUUUGGCUUAACAAAGAGUCCUCUCAAUAGGGAUUACGGGAUUAUUAAUGACCCGUCUUUGGGUUUAUUCUUGAUUUUGUACUAUGACCUGAUUGGGUCAACGUUGCCUUGAUUAAUUUAAUUUGAGUGUUAAGCCCUAAUUGUUAACAAUAAAAAAAAACAAACAAAACUCCUUUUCUUUUUUAGAUAGAAGAUAAAGACAAUAAUGUCUUUUCAACUACAUAAUCAUCAAUGAUACAGGUUACCCCUUUUUUCUCCUUUACUUGCUUUUCUUUGUUUUUAUUUUUCUUUUUAGUCUUAAUUGGGAUUUGAAUUAUAGGCGUUGAGAAGUCAUGCCUGCUCUUGCAAUUCACUGGCAAAAAAUUCCACCCCAUUCAUGAUCUCACCAUCGAUGUUGAAUUUGGAGCUCGCAUGGCCACCAUUGAUGUGCUCACCCUAUUAAGCUUCAAACUUGGGACAUUAUAUUUUUUUUUCUUUUUUUCUUGAUAAUUUUGUUUAGAUAACAAGAGUUUCAAGUUCACUUGAUUAUGACGGCCUUUUGUUGAAUUUCAUAAAUUAGUUAUUUAUUUGCUAAUUAACUGCACUUUUUUAAUUAAAGAAUAUGUUAAGCUAAUGGCUUAACAAGGAAAGAAAUUGAGAGAAAAGAGAAGAAGAAAAUCAGAGAAGUGGAUAGAGAAAAGGAAAUACAUUGUUUUAUUAUUACUUAUCUCAUGUUAUUCACAUUAUUCUUAUUUAUAGAAUGUAGUAAAAGCUAUUGUUGCAACUAGUUAUCCCUUUCCAGUAACUAACUUCAACUAACUACUAACUACCAUUAACCAACUUGUAAACUCAUGAUCCAUAUGUUUAAUCUCAUUUGUUCCUGCACUGCUACUUCUACACAUCUAUGUUGCUUAAUCUGCUUAAUGGAAUGAUUGCAACAAUACUUUAUCCCUCCAAUUGAUUCCUGACAUCAAGAAUCGAAAUAGAACUCAAGAAAUUGUUGUUGAGUCUUUUCUAAUUCUUCAUAUGUUGCAUCAUCAAGAAAGGAAUUAGACCAUUAGAUUAAUCCUACCACCACAACCUUAUAAUCCUUUUUCAUAAGCUUCAUUUCCAAAAUUGCUAGUGGACAAAUCUUAAUCUUGCCACCAUCAUCCAUUACUGGCAAGUUAGAUGAAACUACACUCUCUUCACCAAUUUUUUAUUUCAAAAGUGAAACAUGAAAGACAAGUUGGAAUGAGCUGCCUUCUAGUAAUCUUAGUUUGUAAACUACAGUGCCAACUCUCGUAAUGAUUUUGUAUGGACUAUAAUGCCUAGGAUUCAACUUAUAAUUCCUCCUAAGAGAUAAAUUGUCUUGUCUAUAUGGUUGCAACUUUAUAAAUACCUAAUCUCCUUCUGCAAAUUCAUGUUCAAUCCUUCUUUUAUCUACCAUCCACUUCAUUUUGUUUCUUAUUGUUUAUAGUUUAUUCUUCAACAUUUUAUCCAUAUUAAGUCUUAUUCGCACUAACUUUUCCACGACAACAACUGGAGUAGAGUCAAUUGGGAGCAUAUCUCUAGUUGGUGGUAUGAUAAUACUUAAAAUGGAGUCGUGCCUAUAGUAGAAUGAAAGUUGUUAUUGUACCACCACUGUGUAAGAAAGAGCCCCAAACACCAUUUCUUUGGGUUAUCCAUAGUCAUGCACCUCAAGUAUAUCUUCAAGCAUUGGUUCAUCCUCUCUGUCUGGCCAUCAGUUUUGAGGAUGAUAUGAGGUGCUCGUUAGCAAUUUAACUCCCUACCUCUUGAAUAGUUCUUUCCAUAAAAAGCUUGUGAAAACCUUGUCCCUGUCAAUAACUAUUGUGGCAGGUGAUCCAUGAAAUUUGUAAAAAUAGUCCAAGAAUAUGUGAGCAAUAUCCUGAGCUGAAAAAAGAUGAGAUAAUGCUAUGAAAUACCUAUAUUUUAUGAAUUUAUUUACAAAUACCAAAAUAAUAUCUUUCCUUUCUGACUUGGGCAGUUCCUCAAUGAAUUCCAUUGAGAUGUCUUCUCAUGCCUUCUUGGAAGUUGGUAAGGGUUGUAGUAAUCCUGGGUAAGAUACAAUUUUUGCUUUAGCUUGGGAACAUAUGUCACACUAUUAGACAAACUCUUUCAUUGGCUUCUUUAUGGAUGGCUAAUAGAAAUGAACCUUAAGACUUUUGUAAGAGUUUUGCAUUCCAACAUGAUUGUCAAUGCAGAAAUUAUAUGUAAUCUACACUAAUUGAUUUCUCAAGGGUUCAUUGUCUCCAAAUACUAAUUUGCCCUUAUACUUUAGAAUGCCUUCUAAUAAGUAAAAUCUACAAAUCUGCUUGCAUUUAUUAUCAUACUAAUAAUUAUCUCCUAUGUUGUUUUGUCAUUGUUGUAUGAACCAUAAAUGUCUUCAUACCAAGCAAGCACCAAUCUGGUUACUGCACUAAAAUCACCUCCCUCACUUUUUUUUAUCUCCAUGUUGGUCGGUUCUAUAGUUGUAUUUUCUUGAUAAAGCAUCUGCAACCACAGUUUCUUUCCCUUUUAUGUAUAAAAUUUGAUAACGCAAUCCUAUUAAUUUAGUUAGUCCUUUCUUCUGAGUAAUGGUGUGGAUCUUCUGGUCCAGUAGAUGUUUAAGACUCUUAUGAUCGGUUUGGAUUACAAAUUGUUCAUGUUUUAGGUAGUGUUUUAAUUUGUCUACUAUAAUUAAAAUUGUCAAACACUCAUUCUCAUAUAUGGAUAACCCCACAUGUUUGCCUACCAAGGCCUUGCUAAAAAAAGUAAGAGGUUAGCCCUCUUGAUUGAGCACUGCUUCUAACCUUGCAGCACAUGUAGGGGUGAGCAAAUUAACCAAAAAACCGAUUUAACCGAGAAAACCGAAAAAAAUUAACCGAAAAAACCGAACCGAUAAAAAAAACCGAUUGAACCAGUUAAAAUAUUUAGGAAAAUGUCCGGUUCGGUUCGGUUUCUGGUUUUGGUGUGCCUGAAUCGGCCAACCCAAACCGAACCGAACCGGUUCGGUUUAGGAAUGAAAAAAAAUAUUAAACCAGGCGGUCUUAGCCGCGUGCGCCGCGUCCUCUCAUUACUUUCCCUUUCAACAACUAGGGCAUACCAUUUAAAAUUCAAUUUUCUGCUUUCCUUUCACACAGCCGCCGUCUCCUCUCCAACCUGAUUUCUAGUUUUAGACCUCAGAACAUUCCCUCUCCUUUCAAAAAUCCAUCACCCGUGAUAAAAAAUCUGGUCUUCCUAUCUCUAAUAACGUCCUUGAGCUGUCUGAUAGCGUCGACAUAGCCGCUACAAACAUGUCUGCAACCUCCUUCAGUGAUACUUUUAUGCUCCAAGAAUCUCAACAAAAUCUUUUACUUGAAUGAAAACCUAACUGUAUUGUUCAUGACGUGUUUCAUCGCUGGUCUGUUGUUGCUAUUGACAGUGUUGACAUUCCAAGAAUUACUUUGAAUGGGAAUAAAUUCUUCGCUUGUUGUGUCCGAGAAAAUAUGGAAUGCUAUAAGCCCCAUGAGAAAGUAACUUCUGAUUUGGAGCCUUUUAUUGUUCCAGGUCUUUUUGAUAGGAUUGAAUUGACCACAUCUCAACUACCAGUCUUUGGAAGACAAUCACAUGGUGAAGACCAACAGACCAAAGAUGCAAAACACCUUAACACCAUAGGUUUUUCCGGUUUUGGACCUCAAAAACCGGACCCAAACCGAACCGGAACCGGUCGGUUUGGACCGGUUCCGGUUUGGUUUGGGUCCCUUUUUUUUAACGGUUUGGUUGUUUUUUAAAGGUAAAAACCGAACCGAACCGAAAAUGAUCACCCCUAAGCACAUGUGUCUGUAUACAAUACAAAAGUUUUAGUGAAAUCAGGUAAGGCUAAGAUUGGAGCCUUACAUAAAGCCUUCUUUAGCAUAUCAAAAGCUUUUUAUGCUCCUUUAUUUUAUCCAAAACUAUUUUUCCAUGGCAAAUCUGUAAGUGGUUUGCUAAUGAUACCAAAUCCUAUAGUGAACUUUCUAUAGUAGCCUACCAAACCAAGAAAACCCCUAAGCUCUUUUAAUGAUUUUGGUGAUGGUCAUUCCUUCAUUGUUUUUGUCUUCAUGGAUUUAAUAACAAUUCCAUCUGCUAAGAUUACAUGCCCAAAUAUUCCACUUGCCGCUUACCAAACAUAUAUUUGGAUUUCUUUGCAUAUAAUUGAUUAGCAUGAAGAGAUUUUAGAACAUGUUUCAAGUAAUGUAUAUGUAAUUCUAAGUAAGAACUAUAAACUAAUAUGUCAUAAAAAAAAAUACUAAAACAAACUUCCUUCAAAAAGGUUUUAUGAUGUUUGGAACAUAGCAAGCUUAUGAAUGAAUUAAAUGGAAAUUUAGGUCUCUUUAGAAGAUUCUUAUUUCCUCUUUGGUGAAAGAGGAAAAAGGCAUGUGGGAGAAAGAAUUCUUAAAGGAGAAAAUCUUUCAUCCACCACAUCAAGCGGGACAAAGCUAGACCCCUAAACAAUUGAAGGUUCUCGCUCAUCUAUUAUUAUCCAUAUCAUCUGAAAAACUUUUCAUAUUCCAUUAACAUUUAUGAGUGCUUAAAAGGUGGCAGGUGUGUUUGUGAGGCUAAAUGACAUUACUUUAAACUCAUAGUGUCCUGGAUAGGUUUAAUGCAGUUUUCUCGAAAUCUUCUUCCUUCAUAUGGACUUGAUGAUAGCUAGAUUUGAGGUCUAGUUUAGAAAAGAAUUUGAACCCCUAUAGCUCAUCUAAUAAGUCAUCAAUUAAAGGGAUUAGGAACUUAUUCUUGAUAGUUACCUCAUUAAGUUGUCUAAAAUCCACUCAAAAACACUAUGUAUUGUCCUCUUUUUUUACCAAUAAUAUAGGUGAAGCAAAAGGGCUCAUACUUUAUUGGAUUAUGUCACUUUCUAGCAUCUAUUUGACUAGCCUUUCUAUUUCUCCUUUAUGAAUAAAUGAGCUUUUGUAGGGUCUGUGAUUGACUAGUUGACCUCUUGGUUUUAAAUGAACUCUAUGAUCAAACUUCCUCACCAGUGGAAGGCUUAUAGGUUCCUCAAACAUCAUUGCAUACCUUCGAAAUAAGAGGGGGGAAUUUUCUGGGCUUCCUGGUUAGCAGCAAAGGAAUGAAGCCCAAUCCUAAGAAAAUUCAAGCAAUUCUUGACAUGACUCCUCCGCAAAAGAUAAAAAAUGUCAGUGUCUUACCGAAAGGUUUGCUGCCCUGAACCGAUUCAUAUCCAGGCUGGGAGAAUGCAGCUUACCUUUCUUCAAAACCUUAAAAAAACAUCAUUUUUUUUAUCAAAUGUAAGAAUUUAUAGAUCAAAACUAAACAAGCUGGAAACCAGCAGUACAUAUGUACAGAGAUAAACAGGCAAAGGGAACAGACUCCUUUAAGAAAACCAAAGCAAGCAGAUCUUGCUAAACAGAAAUAAUCUAAGCCAACCACAUAAAAGGCUUGUGCUGGGAAACAACCUCCCCAGAACAAGCAAACUGGCAAUAAGCACAACAAUGUGCAGAACAAAGAACUGAACAAGGGAACAGGCUCCCUUAUGCGGACAAAAUAAACCGAUCCACCAACCUAACAGCUGCUGAAUCCCAGAAAGCUUAGGGAACAGGCUCCCGUAGCAAAUCAGGAACCAGAACACUGAGUACUCAAACCAGCAGCAAAGGCAACCAACAACAUCAAGCCAGUUGAAAAGCCAACACAACAGCAAGAGAACCAGCAGAACAACAUGAAAACAAGCAGACCAAACCAGCCCCCAUGCGGGGACAAAUAGCCUAGAGCUAAGCUAGCACAACCACAAUCCAAGAAGAGCAUCCAAUAAGGACACGCUACCCAGAGAGCAACAUAGCCGGGGGGAUCAGACUCCCACAAAGCCCAUGCAAGAGAAAUCUAGCAACCAAAAACCAGAGGCAACAAGCCAGCAAGAAGAAUGCAGAGCCAAAGGUAGGACCAUUAGAGGAAAACUGACUUCAAUCAGGCUAGAAGAAGCCAAACGGAGAAGCCACAUGCAGGGCCAGAAAAUCCACCUGCAACCCAAACCAGCAAAACAGGCAAGAACAAAACAUCACAGCAACAGGCAAAUAAAACUGCAAUAACUAGAAAUUAGGCCUACAAAGGCAACACCAAAAUACAAUACUAGAAAACCCAAAAUAGACACAAGGACAUAUUCCUUGACCAAUAUUCCACAAGAGUAUAAUAUAUCAAAGGGAGAAGGAUGGAGUUGAAGCUGUGCUGCUCUGGAUCCUGGAAUCAGCCGAGGAGGAGCUUUUAGAAGGACCACUCUUUCCUAAUGACAUUCUUGAUCGGCCAAAGGCAGGGGUGGCAGCAGCUUUGCUCCUUGUCAAGUAUUGCCUCCUUGGAGGCAAUGUGGUAGCAGUGUCAAAGCGAUCUUUAGAGACGUGAACAACCCGAGGAGAGUCAGAAGAAGUAUCAGGGGAUCUAGGCUGUGAAGCCAGUUUUGCCCGCUUGCGAACAAAACAACGUGCUCUCUCUUCAACAGCUACACCUGCCUCAGCAGCCAUUGGAUCAACAUCCAGUUCUCCUUAAGGUUCCUUCCUGAUUGACUGUUUUUCAACAGCUUCAGUAUCAGCUGAGGGAUUGGAGUAUCUAGAGGGAGCAGAAGUUGUUGGGGGAUGCUUUUUGCGCUUAUGACUGGAAGAUUUGUUGCAUGCAGAAUUGGAAUGUCCCAGAAUGUUGCACUUCUUGCAAAACCAUGGCAGAGAUUCAUAUAACACUACCUGGGGUUUGGAAACACCAUUGGGGAGGGUGGUAUUGAUCGAUGAUGGUAAUUCAGCAAGUAAAUCAAUCUCAACCAGCACUCGGGCAUAAGAGAGUCGAGUUAUAGAGGUUGUUGGAGAAUCAUAAUACAUUGGUUUCCCUAUCACACUUGCUAGUUUAGAAAGACACAAUGGUGACCAGCACUGAAGAGGUAGGUUAGGGAAUUUAACCCAAAUUGGCAGUCGAACCAUAUCAGAAGUGUCAAAAUCAAAAUAAUCAGGCAUAAUUUUCAAUAUCAAGAGUCGGCGAAACACAUAGUAAGGCCUUCCACGGAGCACAUCAAUCAUGUCCGAUUCAGAUGCAAACUAAUAAACCGAUUCAGCUUUUUGAUAGAUUUAUAGUUAAAUGCUACUUUCAAAGCAAAAACCCGAACAAUCCUACGCCAACCAUUGAACUGGCAGUCCCUUCAAAAUUCACUCUCUCAACCCCACAUUGGGAACUAUAUGUUGAUAGGUCCUCCAAUUUUGAAGGGUGUGACACUAAAACAGUACUUGAAAGACCCAACAGACAAGUUUUUUAGUAUGAAAUUCAUUUCGAGUUCUCAUUUACCAACAACGUGUUAAAAUAUGAAGCUCUCCUAGCAGGAUUAGGUCUAGCAAAAGCUUUGAAAGCCUUACCCUUCCAUGACUAGAACAAUUCCCAGUUAAUAGUAAAUUAAUGCCAAGGGAUUUUUGAAAUGAGAAACCUUACUCUAAAAAAGUAUCUCUAAAAGGUCCAGACUCUCCUCUUAGGGAUAGAAAGGGUCAAGGAAAUUCUAAUUACCUGGAUUCUUAGAGAAGAGAACAUGAGAGCAAACCUCAUUUCUAAACUAGCAAGAUCCAACUUGGUCAACCUCUUAUUAGGAGUAUGGAUUGAAAUUCUCAAGAAAACAAGCAUAGAAAGAGGACUAAUAACUGCAUUUAUCGACAUAGAAAAUAAUUGGAGAACUAUUAUCGAGAAUUAUCGACUCACAUGAAAGUUGCUCUUAGAUAAAAACGAAGCCAUCUAUUUAACUAGACAUGUAAUCAAGUAUUGCAUGAUUGAUGAGAUCUUGUACAAGCGAUUUAUCUAGGCUUAUUUGUUGAAAUGCUUAUCCUUAACGAAGAGUGUUUAUGUUCUAAGAGAAAUUCACGAGGAAAUAUGCAAUCUAAACACCGAAUCUAGGGCUCUUAUAGCCCAUGUCAUUAGAACAAGGUUUUAUUGGCCAAUGAUCCUUAGUGAUGUUACUACUUUUAUGAAAUGGUGUGAUUAAUAUCAGAAAUUUACAUCAAUCUCUAAACAACCCUCUUCCAAGCUCAUCAUCAUACCUUCUCCGUGGCCAUUUGCCUAGUAGGGGGUAGACAUAUUAGACCUUUACCCAAAAGUCAUGGGAAAUAGAAAGUUCAUCUUGGUGGGUGUCGAUGACUUCACCAAGUGUGUCGAAGUAGAAGCAUUAGUAGUUAUCACCGUCAAUAAGGUCAUUUCUUUCUUAUGGAAGAACAUCAUUUAUAGAUUUAGGAUUCUAAAGGUUUUAAUCGUUAAUAAUAAGACAUAGUUCGACAACCAUAAGAUGAAGGAACAAUGUCAAAAACUCCAUAUCAACCAUUGAUUCUCCUCAGUGUCUCAUCCCUAAACAAACAACCAAGACAACUUACCAAUUGGAUUCUACUGAAUGGACUAAAAAAAAAGAUAGUAGAGGUUAAGUCAAAUUAGGUAGAGCUGUUAAAUAAGAUCUUGUGGGCCUACAAAACAACCUAGAAAACAUCUAUCGAGGAAAAUCCUUUUCUCCUCACCUAUGGAACGAAGGCCAUAAUCUUGGCUGAAAUCGAAUGCCCGAGUUAUGGAGUGGGCUGCUACAUAUCAAAAGGUACCCACCUAGACCUCAGGAAUAACCUAGAUUUCCUAGAAGAAACCCAUCUAAUUACAGCCAUAAAAAAAAAGGUAUAUAAGAACAAAAUUGCUUAUUAUCAUAAUGUUAAGGUUAAGAACAAAAUCUUCAAACUCGGUGACAUAGUACUGAGAAAGCUGGAGGAAAUUAGCAAUAAAAAAAUAAAGGAAAACUAGCCUUGAGAUGGGACAACCCCUUUCGAAUAACAAAAAUAGUAAAGACUAACACCUAACAUCUUCAAGAUAUAAAAGGAAGAAGUCUUCAUCACAUAUGGUACUCAUAUCAUUUGAAAUUAUAUCACAGUCAAUAAAGUAUAAAUUAUCCAUAUAUCCAAUAUGAUUUUUGUCUCUAACAGGGAAUGCCCAAGGGCCAUACCAAUCCAGAAUAAGGAAUCAAAAUAGCCAUUAUCCCACAACCUUACAAGGACGAAAUGGACAUGGUCUCCCUAGUGCGGUUGCAUAAUAAGCCUUAGAAGAGAUUAAUUGCCUCUAUAGCAUGAUUGCAUAAACUUACAUUGAAGGAGACAAACAUGGUCUUCCUAAUGCCCUGCAUAACCUCCGGAUAAGAAUGACAACGCCUUCAUCUAAAAAGGAUUGAUACCAUCUCUCUAGGACAAUCACCCCACAACCUUCAAGGAUGUGAUGAACAUGAUCUCCCUUGUGCGAUUGCAUAAUAAGCCUUGAAAGAGAUUGAUGUUUCCCUAGUGCGAUUACACAACUUAUUUUGAAGAGGACAUAUGUAAUAUCUAUAGUGCCCCUGCAUAACCUCCAAUGAUAGGAAUGACAACGACAUCAACACAAAUGAAUUGAUAACAUCUCUCUAGGGUAACUACUUUGGAGGGGAUAAAUUGUCUUUCUAGUGUGAUUGCACAACUUACUUUGGAAGGGAUAUAUAUAACUUCCCUAGUGCGUCGACACAACCUCCAAGAAUAGGAAUGACAACGCCAUUAACAAAGGAGAUACGAAUCUUCUAAGGCAAUAACCAACAACUCCCAAUGACAAGGAAGAAUCGGUUUUCACCAGUUGCUCUACAAAACAAUUUUCAUCUCCACAACACGAAUGCAUAUGUAAUCCUAAGGGCAUUGUAAUAAGCCUACUGAACACACAAAAAUAUACUUGCAACCCAAGAUUUCUCUUCGGUUCCAAGUAGAGGGGAAUCCUACCAAGGUUUGAUAUUUGAUAAACGUUUAGCUAGAUGGGUGUUAGACUCAAAGUGGUAUAACUGCGGGUGAGUGUGAGACCCAAAAGUGUUCAACUAAAAGAUAAGUAUUGGACCCAUAAAUAUACAGAUAAAAUAUGGGUGUUGGACCCUGAGAAAAUCUCUAUACCAAGGUUUUAAGGCCAUAUAAAUUAACAAAACAAGAAAUAUUUUUUAUCAAAAGAAGUUCUCAUUACACAAACGUAUAUUACAAUCAUCAACGCCAUAGGACUGGGGUGUAUAUAAGAAUAUACAUACUAAUAAAUAUACUAGGAGGCUUAGAGAUCCAACCCAACCUCCUCAGCUAAGUACUCUAUCCAGUGGGCAAUAACGACCCUAACAGGAAACACAUCCUCAAAAUCAUGCACAAGGAUGGGAUGAAAGGCAGCACUAAAGUCCAUCUGCAUUCCCUUAGAGCAAUUAAAGAAGUAUAGAUUGGACAUAGCUAGAAAAAUCUUGUCCCCAACUGUCUUAGACAAGCUUACUGACCCUCUAAAAACUUCUUGGAAUUCUUUAACAUAACUCUUAAAUGCCUCCACCCUCCAGCCUCUCUUAGAAGUCCUAAACUUCCUUUUUAGCAUCUUGGAACUCCAAACACAGAACAUCUUUAAAUGCUUGUAACUUCAUGAUAAUAUGCCUUAAAGUUGUAAUUUUAUGAAGGGCCUCCUGCAACCGCUAUUCAGUAGAGCUUAUAUGAAGAAUAGCUUCAUUUUACCCAUCAAGGAAACGUAUGCCGCUUUUAAACCUCUCAUCUCGGUCUCCAUGAUGGUCUUCUCCUUUCGGAGCCUUUAAAAAGUAGUAUGACCUUCUAUGUGACUAGUAAUAACAUCCUUCACCUAGCUCCUCUCAUAUGCCCAGAUCCUUUUAGAGUGGGUGCACAUUAUAAAAGUUUGUAAAUGAUAAAGGUUUAGAAGGCCUCGUAAGCAGAAAAGAAGAUAGAAAAGAUAUUCCUUAAAUUAAAACCCAUUUGGCUCAUCAAAGUUAAAUGACGGUGGUAGCUUUCACUAAACAUCUAGAGGAUAUCUGAAAGAAUGACGAGGACCCUUUUUCCACCAUCAACAACCUCUAUAACCCGCCUCUUCUCUUUAUUUAGGGCAGGAAAAUUGAAUGGGCUGAUUAAGUGCAAGAUGAGAAAAGGUGUCCUCAAACUUUUAGCCCCAAGAUGUGGACUCCGUAGUUGUAGCCUCCAUGACCACAAUAAAAGAUGAGAUAAAGAGACAUAUAUCUUCAUUACGAGGGAUCGAGUGCCUACCUCUAUAGGGGUGGAGGCCCUUCUCCUUUUAAAAAUAGACAGUGACACCCGUUAUCACUUCUAGGGGAGUCUAGUCAGCAUGAGCCCUAACCAGAGGGGUACGACUCCCCUUAGCUUCUAUUUAGGCAGGAGCUCUGACCCUCGUCAUUGCUCCCUCAUAAACUAGGAGCUCAUCCAAAAAAUCAGGUCAUGCUCCAUUUUUUUUCAAGAAAUUAAAACGUCUCUCUUGAUGAUGACAAACUCCUUUCUUUUGAUAUAGCUGAGGUCUCUCCUCCUUCCUCGACUAUCAACCCUGCAUAAAAAUAAAAUCAAAGGUGAUUUUUUGUUGAAUAAAAACAAAAGGAGAAAAGUUGCAUACUUUGUAACAGGUUCAUGUAUUCCUUUUUAGCCAUCUCGUUGACUUCGUAUUCCAUUAAGGUAGAAGCCAACAACUAAGAGUUUCCUCCUCACCAAGACUAAAACAAGGCAUGUUGUUCACCUCACGAGGAGGUACCUUCUAGGUAUGGGAACAACCCCGAAUUUGGUACAUACCUCCCUGAAGGCUAACUGUCCCAAUGAACCUCAUAAUUAGUCACCUCCCUCUCUAUUUCUUUGGGUACAUGGGCUUGCCUUUGAGAGAUUGUCCCUUGGCUCCACUAGGGCUAUUAGUAAAAAUAAGGAACCACCAGAAGUCAUUACCAUCAUCAGUACCCGUGACCAGUUGGUAACAAGAUCUGAAAAGGUUUAUGGUGAGCUCUACACUAACAAGCCUAAGAAACUUAUUAAAUGCUGAUAAGACCACCCACUAGAGUGUAAUUGUUCCGGGCCUAACCUAUAAUAUCUAAAAACAUCGCUAAUAAAUCCUUAAAGAGGGAAGGAAUGUCCUAUUUCAUACAUACACAAGGGGGCUAUAAUUUCAAAGCAUCCCCAAGUAGAAACCAAGGUCUCCUCACUGAUUCUUUCUUUCUUAAAAGGCUACUAGGCCACACGGGUGCCAAGUUAUCAACCAUUAACACCUCCACAACACUUAGAGUGUUGGGAGCGUCAAAUAUGAGGGUUGGAGGUGACCUUUCCCUCUCCUAAAAACCCCUUAAAAUACUAGGUGAAAUGAUGUUUAUGCUUCUAGAAUCAGAUCUAACCUUAUAAGAGUCCAUUUUUUCUAAGAAGAAGGAAAAUGAUGUACAAGAUGAAAAUUUAGGAGUGAUGACACGAACAAAAGAUUGAUGUCUUAUCCCAAGUGCAGGAGUGUCGAAGUAAUAAAUAACUCAGCAAGACUGGGGUCGAACCACAUGGAGGUGAACUAUAUAAAUUACAAAUAAUAUAUAUAUUUAAUAAAACAAAGAGUUUAUGAGAAUUUUAUGGGAUAUUGAUAUAAGGAUUAAACAAAGAUAAAACAAUUGUCAAGGUUAGAGGAUUCACUAAUGGUAUUUCAAAUAAGUAUAUUAUAAACUCUUUUUAUUACUCAACUGGAAACCACACACAAAGGAGGUUCCAAUCGGAUUAUAAAUUGCUAACAUGAUUACAUUAGUUAUCUUAUUCGAAUAAUGUUAAUACUUGUAAAUGUUGUUAGGUAUUCAUGAUAUUAAUUUAUGUUAACAACAAAUUAAAUUCCUUUCAUAACACAAGUGUCGGUUAUACCAUACAGUAGGUUAUGAAAGCGUCAAGUAUUUGUUGUACCAAGGGUUGUACAACAUAAAUCUAGAUUAACCAUUUAACAAGCAAAGUAUUAAGAGUGAAUAAGAUAACAAAUACAAAACAUGUUAGUAUCAAACAUCAAAGUCCAUGUUGAGUUUACACUAUACUUAUUCUUACACCAUUAGUGUAACCUUUUCACCUUGACAUAAUAAACUUAACUAAACAUAAUGAAAGAGAGAAACAUAAGUAAAUAAGAUAAGAACAUAAAUAAGAUAUAAGUUAACUAAGUAAAGGAAAGGAAAUGAAAAGCAUAAACAAGAGAUUAAUAUAACAUAAAAUAAAACUUGAACAUUACAAAAUAUAAAGAGAGAGAGUAAGAGCAAUAUCUUGAUCUGAACAACCAAUAUGCCUAAAUAUGUGGCAAAUGCCUCAUUUUAUAGGCUAAAAUUCAGAACUAUUGAUUUGAUGACUAAUUGUUGAGUGGGUGGCCACCUCUUUGACUUGGUGACAACCCUUAUCUUCUUGUCUGAACAAAAUGUCAUUGCUAACAUCCGAAUUUGAACAGAUAGUCUUCAUGAAAGUUUUGGAAAAUUGUCUCAGCUUUCCAACAAAAUAAGAAUGAGCUCAUUUUGACUUCUAGAACUCGAGAUAUGGGCUGAACACUAAACAUUGUCUGGGUUACAGGAUAGAUUCUGACGUCUCUUUUGUUGCUAUAAUUUGAACUUGAAAACGGACGUUUUGAAUCUUGGACUAUGCAUGAAAGUUUUAGGCCUAUGUCUUAGCUUUCCAUCCAUAUAAACCAAAUGUAAAUCCAAGUUCUACAGCUCCAGUUAUGAUCCAAUAACCGAGUGGUGUUCCAGUUUGAAUUGAACCAUCAUCUGUUCUCCAAACUUAGCCCUCUCUUUAUCUUCUCAAUUUCAAUAGUUAAACAAAUCAAUCAAUACUUUGAAUUGUGAAACAUGCCUGCAUUUGAAAUGAGCAUUUACCAUAAAUUAAAGAUAUCUUAUAUUAUUAGACUUAUUAUAAAACAUACUUAAGUUAGAGAAUUUAAUGAUACUUUAAGUGCAAUAUGAUGAUAUAAAACCUUGAUAAAAAUACACUUUUAAGUACUAAUCAAGUGACUUACUUAAGAAAUCUCGAAAUCAACUUGACAAUAACUGCAAAAAGUAAAAGAAAGAUGGAGGUAAAUGACUAGGUUUAUAAAGGAGACGAUUUAUCACCCCAACUGUUGGAUAAAGAACAUGUUAUAUCAUCUCAGAUCUCUAGAAAUAUGCUCAAAUACUACAUUAAAUACAAGCCAUCUUUUUUAUUUCUAAAAAAGACCUCUAAUAAGGAUGUGACGUUUGGCCAAGAGGAUCUUAACAAUUAAAUUUUGGGAAGACAAAACACACAAGGAAGGUAAAGAGAUCAAUUGAUUAAAGAGGAUGGCCUUUUCAAGAUUUUCACGUAUUAAAUUCACAAAGACUUGGGGGGCUACUAAUGGAUCGAAGUAUUUCAUACUGAAAACCAUUUUUUUCCUCAUAAAACUUAUGACUAGAAGGGAUCAAGAGAAAAAAGAUCUAUUAUAGAAGCUCAGUAGAGGCCAGGGCCCAUGGUAAGAAGGUCUAGAAAAAUGUUAGGCCCAACCUCCUUUGGGCUCGGCUACAGCCGGGCUUAAACUCUUAUGGUUUUAGCAAGAUGUCAAACCCAACCCCCUUGGGCUUGGCUACGCGCAGAUCCCAAGCGCCUGUGGGUCUGACGAGAUGUCAUACUCAACCCUUUUAAGCUCAUUUAAACGUCAGGCCUAAACGUCUGUGGGUUUUGCAAGAUGACAGACCUAACCCUUUCGGCUUAGUUACGCACUAGACCCAAAAUGCUAGGAUCAACGCCUUUUUGAGCCAAGGAUUCCUUUAGAUACAAGCACCCAAUUUGGGAAUCUAGGGUCAUCAUCUCCUUACACCCUAUCUAUGCAAAAAGUCCUCUAAAGGUUGUCCAUGCAUCAAUUAGUAUUAAUGUUGAUUAUAAGGGAUGAUCCCAUAAACAUUAAUAUCAUGUAUAGAUUGAUGUAGGAUCAUCUUUUGUAGGCAUAUGAUACUCCCAUCAAUAAUUAAUGCCAUGUAAGGAGAUACUUAUAAUCAAAAUUAAUGUUGAUUGUAAGGGUCUUCCUUCCAUUUGGAUAUGAAGAAGAAAAAGACCCACAACUCCUCAAAUAAGAAAAAGAAAAAUUCAAGGUUAUAAAUAUUGUAUGAAUGAUCCAGGAAAGUGGUUCACCAUCUUCACUCUCUUACAACUUAUUCUCAACAUUUAUCAUAUAUAAACUAAGAACAAACUUUCUUGUUCUUAUAAUUUAAUGCUCAUUUAUUGCAACUCUUUAUAAUAAAAUCACUAAUUUAAUCAUCGGAGGGUCCCUAAAAUCCAUAAAGGACUGUUUUGUAGGAAAUCUAGCCCCCGUCACCAACCCCUAGAAUCCUUAGUUAUGAAAAAUAGAAGAUGAACAUGAACAUGAAUACGUGAUCAUCUAUCAUCCAAACACGGUGAAAAAUAACUUACCUAGCAUUCUAAAUUUUAGAGUAUCAUCAAUAUCCUAAUCCAGGCCUUAGUUUUGUCAGGUCUUUAAUUCCCUCGCAUCCCGCGCCUCCAAAUUAAAAGCAUACCAACAAAUAUUAUUAUAAUAAUUUAUCACAGGCCUUCAUAGAGACUGAUGGAAAAAUCCUUCAGAAUAUCCAGGAAGGUUUGUUUGAUGUAUCCAACGAGGUAAUCAUUUAAUAGGCAGUGUCUAGAACCAUCCAUUUAUCAUUUCAGUGCAAGUUGAUGUUUGUUUUGUUGAUACCUUUGUUGUUACAAAUGUAGUCAUUAGGGAUUAAGGUUGGAUAGGACCCCCAAGGUGCAUCAUAUACAAGGGAUGGAACUGUUGCUCAAAGAGGAGGGUGCUGCAGCUAAUUGAAACACAAAUAAAACCUGUUUAUUUGUUCUUAUUAUGCAAUGUCAUCCUGCAUAUUUGGAUCCCGCAAAACUUUCAUUGGAUCCCGUAAAACUUUCAUGUGACUACAUAUGAACAUUUAAAGUUAUGUUUGAAAGUGUGAUUGCAGUUGCUUUUCAAAAUGCCUUUUACUUGGAAAUUAAAAUCAAAAUUUUUAUUUUUUUUAUAUCAGCGCAUUAAAAUGAUCUGAAAACACAGAAAAAAAACAAAAAUAUAAAAAAAUUUAAAUUUUUUUCAAAAACAUUUUUGAAACGCAAAAAAAAUAAAAUUUUAACAUAGAGAUCACAUUGGUUAUCUGAAGUUGGUCGAUUAAGUUCAGAUACAUGCAUGAAAGCCCGCAUGCUUCUUCAUAGCUUUUCUGAAACGUAAUUUUUUUUAUCGGAGAUUCAUGACUCCACCUUGUACAGUAUUGCAAGUUCAUCUGAAAUCAUCUACCAAGGUGCAUCAUGAAAACAACUGCUCCAUUUUUUAAUGACAAGUGGUUGAAGAGGCACAUGCAGGUAACCAUACAUGUCGACAGACUUGCGGCAGCUAUAUGAGCUCUCAGUUCAGGUCAGGAUGGAUACAAACAUAGACUGGAGUGGCUCUUCUCCUUUAGAUUUACAAAGAUGCUACGAGACAUGGAGCUUCCUCCAUUCGGUCAGCAUAUGCUAGAGAGAGAUCCUUGACCUAAAAUAGAUUGCAGCCUGGUUCCGGGGAAUCUGCACGCUGCCUUAUUACCAAUAUCUUGCAUCCAAAUUUGCAAAAGUUCGGGUGCCUUGUAAAGGCUGAAAGAGAACAAGACCGACGGGCAGUAAUUCCAUGAGCAAAAUAAUGAUCUUAAAACAGAUAGGUGAUUGUAAAAUACACAGGUUGCCCAUAUGAUCUUACAAGACUACUGUUGAUGAGUUACUUCAUUUUGAUCAAAUCAUCAAAUGUUACAAACAGUAUCAAAAUUGUGAGCUGCGCACGCAUCAAAAUGCAUCGCAUGCAUAUGGGAGAGCAAAGCAAUAAAUUUUAUCACAUAAGCUCCUCAUCCUGAACAUAAAGUGACAUGCUCGCAACCCCAUCACUAUGAACCACCAAAUACCUGCAUACAGCAGCAAAACUUAGAUCCAAUGAAUAGAUUAGGUGUUGAAAGUUGUUACCUACAAAUAAUGACUCACCCCUGCCAGGACAUCUUUAGAGAGUUGAGGUUUGCUUCUCUCUCUUUCAGCAAUUGGUUUUUUCUGUGGGAAUUGUCGGCAAACCGGUGGUUUCUGUGGGGCAACAGAAAGUUCACCUCCAGAUUCUUGUUGGACCUUCUGCUUCUAUAAAUAGAAAAGGAAACCCAUGACGUGAAGGAGGUUGAAGAAUAUAUGAUGCCAUGCCAUAAAAAAGAGAGAAAAAGUCCCAGAAUGCAAAUGGUGAAACCAUUAAUUUACAUUACAAGAAAGACAUACUAAACAAAACAGAAUGGCAUGAAAUUCAUGAGACUUUAUAAUUAGUUAGGGGUAUCAAAGCAUCAGCAUGUACAAAAAAAAAUUCCAAUAAAAAACAAAACCAUUCAAAACUAAGAUUUAUUUCCAAUAAAAAACAAAACCAUUCAAAACUAAGAUUUAUAUAUUUUGAUCGACUUGGAUAUAUAACACUCCUUAUGUCAAAACAUAUAUAUAUAUAUAUAUAUAUAUAUAUAUAUAUAUAUAUAUGUUUUGACAUAAGGAGUGUUAUAUAUCCAAGUCGAUCAAAAUAGGAAAUAACAAUUGUCUGGCAAAAUUUGAGAGACUAUAUUUCAUGUUCACACAGACGCAUAUAUAUACAUAUGCUACAUCUUUAUCAGUUGCAAAUUGCAAGCAUGCUGCCCUUAAACCCAAUCAAGUACAUGCCUCUAAAGCACCUACAUUUUCAAGUUCCCUCAAAAACUUAUGGUUCCUGGCUUACCCAUCAGAGCUUGCCAUGUCCAAUGAAAUGAAAAGAUAACUGGUUUUGACAUUUACUGACAUAAGGAGCUAGGAGGGGUAUAAUAAAGUCUCUUUGUUAAGUAUUCAUUGAGGAUUUUACAAUAAUUAUCACAUAAGCAGCAUAUUAAGGAUUACAAUAACAGAGAGUAUCUGAUUAGUGUUCAUUGACGAAUUCAUCAUAGAUGAUCAUGCAAGCAGCAUAUUCUAAUGCAUGCUCAACACCUAUGGAUGUGAAAUACAGAUUUGAAAACAUCACAUAAAUAAAACACAAACAUAUGCAUGCACAUCACCGCCCUCUGAUAACAAUACACCCUCAAUCCUCCUAUUCCUAUUCCUCUUAUUUCUUCCAUCCUAUUGAAGAGAACUACCUUUUUUUAAUCAAAUUUCAAUGAUAUAAUUAAUUUCAACCAUAUAGAAGGAGCUGACACAUGGCAUUGUGUCUCAGCUGUGUCCAUACCAUAACUCAUCAUGAAAGUGUCAUGCUACUGAGGGAAGGAGGCUAACUCUUACAAAACAAAAGGAACCUAUUCGAUCAGACGUCAAAAUGAUUUACCUGCCUCUCUAAAUAAACAAAAAAAAAAUCAUUUAAUUACAAGUUUCAAGUACCUACUAACAAAUUUCAGAUUCACGGUGAAAAUAUCUGGCUUUAAUUGAUUCUAAGCUAGCCAUACUGCCCAACUAUUGUGCCAAACAUACUUAAACUGACCUAGACGGAACUUGAGUAUUGUAGUCCUGACACAGAACGAAAAGCCAAGUUUAAUUCCUUAAACAGGUGCAUCAAAUUGAUGACUUGAACAUUGCCAAAAUAUCUCAAAACAGCACCAUAGAUGGUGGUUCCAGGAAAAAAAAGUCUGUAACAGUGAGAAGUUAUAGAUGCUGUUUACCUUCUUCAUUCGUUCUUCAAUAGAGCUUAAGGCACGAGACUGGUCAACUUUUUUGAGAUAGAAAUCCCGCUCCCUCUUUGCAGCAGAAAUUUCUAACGCUAAUUUUUGUUCCCGAAUAGCUUUCUUGUAAGCUGCAUUUAAAGCACUAUAAUUUAGACACACAAUAAACUGUAAAACAUGAUAAGAUAGAGCACAACAGAAAUGAGUGAUAUACCAAUUUCGUCUGUAAGAUUAUCCCAUUUGAAUUUACUUAGAUACUUGAUAUUCCAAUGAUCAUAAUAGAAUUGUGACCGCUUCUUCCCACCUAAAAAAUAAAAGAAGACAGAAGAAAUUAAAGAACACUUGGAGGAAAAAAUAAGUAAAUUAUUUACAAAGCAAUCCCAGCACACAUAAGCUAACCCUUUUUUUGUUUUAAGAAAAAAAGAUAUGACAAAGAAUAGGUAAAAUCAACAACAAAAAAAAAAUCUAUACAAAGAACAAGAACUUGACAUGUUUCCUUGAUGGUUUCUCUACAGAGCAAACUAAAAAUUCUCAUUCAACUCAACAAAACAAAAGGACAUAAGAAAAAAUUAUAAAUUACCUAUUUGUUCACCAUUUAACAAAUUAGCAACCCUUUUAGCAUUACUUUUACUAGCAAACUCAACCCACCUGAAAAACACAACAAACAAAGCAAUUACAUAAUAAACAACACAAUUCAAAUAUAUGUUCAUGUAAUUAACACAAAAAUGUAUGAAAAUUACCCUUCAGAGUAUGCUUGAGCUUUAGCUCCACCACCUCUUUUUCUACUCUUAUUGUUAUCAUUCACUUUAUCAAUAGAAGAACUAUCUGCAAACACACAGCAAAAAUUUCUCAAUAAAAUUGAAAACCCAUUUUUCCCCUUAUUUUUAAAUAUAAACACAAAAGAAGUAUCAGAAACUAUACUUUGAGGAGCAAGGUAAAUUCGUUGAAUUUCACCGUACUGACUGAGAAGUUGACGAAGCUUAACAUGAUCCAUACCAGGAGGAACUCUACUUAUGUAACAAACACCACGCUUCUGAGCCUUUUCUGCUUCUUUCUUUAACUUUUUCUUCUUUCCCUCCUCUAAAAACAACACUUGUUCUUGUUCUUUAUGUUCCUCACUCAUUCUUUCCUAAAAUAAAAAAGGGAAGAAAUGGAUAAAAUUACACAGGCUAGGUUAACCUAGCUUCAGGUUAGCUGAAAUACAAAAUUCAUAACAAAUAUCCUAUCCUUAAAAUUUUAGAAACUAAACAAGAAGACAACAUUAAUAAACAUUCUAAAAGGCUAAGAGGCAUUGAGGCACUUGCCUAGGCACUCCAUGCAAGGCAAAGCGAGGCCACAACACCUUUAUUAGCCUCGGACGAUGAAUUUAAAUGAAGUGCUGCCUAGGCAAUUGCCUCGUGAGUGGGCACCAGGUGUUAAAGCGAGUGCCUCACUGAAAUACUUCUUUUUCUGUUGGAUUUUCCCUUUUUUUAAAAAAUAAUUUAUGUUGACCUAUUUGUCCAUUUUUUUAUUUAUCACAAGAAACAAGUUAGGGGUAUUUUUUUUUUUUUAAAAAAAAGCAAAGAUUAGGGUAAAAAAAGAAUUAAAAAAUCAGUAAAGUAUGAGGCAUACAGGAAGGAAGGACACUUGAAGAGAAACAUGAGCCACACUUUGUGUUGAGCAGAGUAGAGAACAACAACACAAGUAUAGAACAAGCAUGGAUGAGGAUGUUUUAGAAGAUUAAUGAAUAAUGAUGAUGAUUUUAAGGUUUUUUUUUAAUCUAUUUGGCUACUUACUACAUUACUACUUCAAAUUAUCUUUUUUUGUUUUAAGGGUGAAAAAUAUAACUUUAUACAACUAUGUUAAGGUAUUUUAUAUUUUCUUUUGAUUUUCUAAAGAUCUAAUCUUAAUUGGAAAGAUAUAUUUUUUAGAUUUAUAUAAUAUAAUAUAACAUCAUACAUAUAUAUUUUUUAAUCUAUAGUAUAUCGCCUUGGUUCAUUCGGGCGAGCGCCGAGCACCUCGGUCAUUUUACUGACUUGGUGCCUUUUAGCGCCUUCUACCUUUGACAACACUGAUGCCAAGCUAGCCAUUGUUUCAAUCCAAGAAUUAUUGACUGAUAAUCGAAUUGCAUGAUAACAAUAACAGCACAGUAAUGAAAAUAAAACUUCCUACCACACAAGUAACUUCGUCGCAAACUUCUCAAAUACAUUAAUGCAUACAUCAGCAUCCAUUGAGAGAGAGAAAAAACCCGGCCGGGAAAAAAAAACAGUAACAUACCAGUCUGGCACGCUCUCCCUUUUCCUCGGUAGCUUCAUCUUUAAAAGUUUUCUCGACCUGCAAUAUUUUCCAAGUAAAGUCAACUUCAAAAACAAAUUUCCAAAACUAAAAAAAGAUAUGGGAAGCACUAGUCAGCAACCGGCAUACCACCAUUGCAAAGCUUAAACCUAAAGUCAUCCGGAAUAUCCACACCGUUAAUCAAAUCCAUGCAUAAAACCCUAAGAAUUCUAAAAAUAAUUCAAAUCCAUGCAUUACAAUGAAAAUUGAAAUGGUUAAAAACGAGAUAGACGGGAACAAUCAAUAAUGUUCGAUAAGAAAAUAGAAGAUUUCAUAGGAAAUCCAAAGAAAGCUUGAUUUUCUUUCCCUUUUAUCAAAAUCCAAAGCAUUAAAGCCUCAAUGCUGGCCUAGUCUAGCCUAGCCUUCUCCUUCCCUUUCUUUGGUGUUUGACAGACUGGACAAGAAUCUAGAAAGAUAAAAAAAAUCCUCACCAUGACUCACGGGUAGUGGAUCGGGAUGGCCUGCGGCUGCUGCCGAUGCUACUGGAGCUACUACUACUGCUUAUGUAGAGGAGGCUGAAGGUGGCUGCUACGAAGGAGGAUGGCAGACGGCGGUGGUGGAAAAGACUUAGGAGGAGGCUGCUGGAACUGGGUGAAUAGCGAGCGAGGAAGAACAAUCGUCUCACUUUGGCCUUUGGGUUGGGUGAUGAUGGCGCUUUGCUUUAGGGUUUAUUAAAAAAAAAAAAAAAAAAAAAAAAAAAAAAAAA